UCUCGCUCUGUCACCCAGGUUGGAGUGCAUUGGUACAAUCUUGGCUCACUGCAACCUCCGCCUUCCGGGUCCAAGCGAUUCUCCUUUCUCAGCUUCCCAAGUAGCUGGGACUACAGGUGCCCAUCACCAUGCCUGGCUAAUUUUUGUAUUUUUAGUAGAGAUGGGGUUUCGCCAUGUUGGCCAGCCUAGUCUCGAACUCCUGACCUCAAGUGAUCCACCUACCUCGGCCUCUCAAAGCGCUGGAAUUACAGGUGUGAGCUACUGUGCUCGGCCUUAAUUUUUUUAAAGGCAAGAAUAGAUGCUGAGUGGCAAAAGAAGUUGACUGUGCUGGUGACUCCCACACACUUUCUCUAUCCUCUACUUACCUCUACUUAGCCCUGCUCUACGGGAAGCUGAAAUCUACAGAAUGCCAACCCGACCUUCCCGACCUCUGGCUUCACUUUGGAUUUGGCUGAUGGAUGGCAACUGCAGAGAAUCAGAGGGUAGGAGGAGAUUCGAGAUUGCUUCUAAGGCAGCAGCUCUGUUUCUCUGCAGUUACAGCUCCACUAGGCAGCCCUCCUCCAAUACACUGCUCUCAGUGGGAUCCAAUAACGCUAAUUCCUCCUUUUCCCUUCAGUGCUAAGGGUGGAAAGGACUUCCUGCAGUCACCAGUUGCCCCCAUACCACUGUUUGUUUUCCUAACCCUGCCCUUAUCUCCCUAAAUUGUCCCCCUCAUUAAAGACUAUUUAAAGCACCUGAUCAAAUCCUCUUCUUUGAUGGGACCUUUACAACACAUAUACAUGAAAAUUUAAUUUAUGUCUGAGGUAGCAUUAGAAAUUUGUGGUGAAGGACUGGAUUAUUCAACAAAUGUGCUCUGCUAGGAUAAAUAAUUUUCCACACAAAAAUUAAAAUUCGAUCUAGGCCUCAUUCUGCACACAAAAAUUAAUUCUAGAUGGAUUAAAUCCCUGAAUGAGAAAAAACUUUUAAAUUUAAAAAUAGCAUAUUUAUGAAACCAGA
rnacentral:lncRNA from 1 species